GCAAUUCUUCAGUAUGUCAUGUCUUGUAUUUUAGAUGAAAACCGGGUUCGUUGUCAAGCCGCAUUACACGCCCAAAUACUACAGAACCCAAUAGAUACUUGGUAUUUAUCCACGAUCCAGCAAAAACUAUGUUGGUGAUGAACACAAGGAACUACUACGUUGGUAUUUAUCCACGAUCCAGCAAAAACUAUGUUGGUGAUGAACACAAGGAACUACUACGUUGUAUCUUCUGUAUCAGUAUUGUUUGACACUUGGCAGCAAUAUAAUUGAAGACUAAAGUCAUGGAUCAACGUACGGCAGGGAAC
rnacentral:lncRNA from 1 species